GACUAUGUGUGUGGCUGUACUUUUUAUAUUACUACUGCCCAUGUGUUAGAGUGUGAGUUGGAUGACAAAAAUACUAUUUAUGCAUAAAUUGACAACCGAGGUGCUUUGAUUUAAAAUAUCAUAGUGAUCAAGUGCCUUCUGUGAUUAGAUAGCACAGUGCAGAAUAUCAGGAAGCACAAAGGGGCAGUCUAACAUUAAAAGUACAUGCCACACACAGUAGUCUGCCAAUAAAAUAUCGUUCCCCAGACUGAGUUCCUCCUCAAGGAUGUGCUCUUGUUAACUCCACUGCACCACUGUGGUGAAACCGUUAUCCAGGGGAUUCCCCAACAUCUCAGCAUCUCGCUAUGAGAGUUUAGCUGCAGCAUCACAUUGUCAUCACUGAUAAUGCCUCAUGAGGAGAUGUUUCAAACCCCCGCAACACUCACUACACCCCCUCCCACCCACUCAGUCUCUGGCGUCACAGCCUUGAGAAGUCGACACGGACGGAAAAAAAGGAAAAAGAAAACUGUGAUCAAACGAACAGAGAGCGAAACCCCCUCUAAGAGCUUUUCUUUGCAUUUGUCACAUCUGCGGCAUUCCUGUCGCUUUUAUUUCAGACACAACUGGGAAUAGUUUCAUGACAAAUAGACAAUGCUAAUAAAUAAUCUACAAGCUUUCUUUGUAAGCUUACUGAAAAGAGAUUGCAAAGAAAAAAAACAAUCAAUAAUGGAUGUGGUGCUACCUCAGAUUCUAUUUCUUUGCACCAUUUUGGACGGAUCCCGUACCAAAUGGUUACAGGAAAAAAAAAAGAAAUGUACAUCUGGGUCCAGUCUGUCUUUCAUAAGAAUACGUGACACAGUUGAAAGACUAUAAACCCUUUUGAUUAAUUAGAGGUAACUGAACCUCAUCAGCAGAGGAGCUCAAGGCUUCCUUCCUGGCUGUAGGCUCCCUGGGAAAUGGAGUGAAAACCGGCACCAUACAAGGAAAGCAAGCAGCAAAAUCUUUCACAUGUUGGCAGAUAUCAGCCCUCUGGAGUCCUGCAGCAGCUAAGCAGCCUUAUACAGGGUAAUCUUUUUCUCAUGUUACUCUAAUGCCCUAUUUGCACAGGACCAAUAUAAAAACCUGAGGGAUUUGUGACCAUAUGGUACGUAGAUUAUUUGCAAUUUAAAUCAUUUGUACAUCUAAAGGCCUUAACACACCGGGGGCGUUUUUUUUCCGUGUGAUUAACCAGUAUAUUUCUUCGAAUAUGUUCACACAGAACGGGAAUAUUACGCGGCGAAAAAGCAACACUUUUUUCUUUGAGCUUUGGCACCGCGAAUAAAGGCAUCAACCAAACACGUUGCGUGGAACGGGUCAAGUUGCCCCUAUAUUUAUGAAACAACAACACGGAGGCUCCGUAGUCCGAACAAUUACGGCAAACUUCAUUACUCCUUUAAACCUUUACAAAGGCAG